GCCAACAUCUGUGUGGAUCACCAUUAGAGGACUUCUACCUUGAAAUCUCAUGGAGAACAUCAAUAUGCCAUUUUUUUAUUUUUAUAAAAGUAUAAAAUUCUAUCUCUUUGCAUGCUUGAUUUUGCUAUGAUCGAUAUCGGCAAGGUGAUUCUAGGGUUUGGAUUUCGGCUCGAUAGUUUUAUUUGAUAAAACUAUUGAUUUAUAUAUUU
rnacentral:lncRNA from 1 species